CCUGCUAAUGUUUUUAACAGCUUUUGGGGGGUACUUUUUUUAGUUUCAGUGUAUGAAACAAAUUCUGUAAGAAGCUUGCAUGGACAUACAGAUUGAAUUCUGCAAAUAAGCACUUCAGAGACUAUGCAAUGGGAACGCGAACUGAAGUGAGUUUCUUCUCCAUCUACUUUCUGUGUGCUUUGAAGAAAGUGAGCUGUCAAGAGUAAACUUCCAGCUAAAUAACUACAUGCCGUAGGAGGCAAAAGGCAAGCAAAAACAAUAAAAAGACAGGAUCAUGGAUCACGGAAGGUAAGCCAGAUUUGUGAUGCCUCUGUACUUCAAUUUUUAAGUUCAUUAUUAUUUUUAUAUAACAGGCUAUUUUGCUAGCUUCUACUG